CCUACGGGAGGCAGCAGUGGGGAAUAUUGCACAAUGGGCGCAAGCCUGAUGCAGCGACGCCGCGUGAGGGAUGACGGCCUUCGGGUUGUAAACCUCUUUCAGCACCGACGAAGCGCAAGUGACGGUAGGUGCAGAAGAAGGACCGGCCAACUACGUGCCAGCAGCCGCGGUAACACGUAGGGUCCGAGCGUUGUCCGGAAUUACUGGGCGUAAAGAGCUCGUAGGUGGUUUGUCGCGUUGUCCGUGAAAUCCCACAACUCAAUUGUGGGUCUGCGGGCGAUACGGGCAGACUGGAGUACUGCAGGGGAGACUGGAAUUCCUGGUGUAGCGGUGGAAUGCGCAGAUAUCAGGAGGAACACCGGUGGCGAAGGCGGGUCUCUGGGCAGUAACUGACGCUGAGGAGCGAAAGCGUGGGGAGCGAACAGGAUUAGAUACCCUGGUAGUCCACGCCGUAAACGGUGGGUACUAGGUGUGGGUUUCCUUCCUUGGGAUCCGUGCCGUAGCUAACGCAUUAAGUACCCCGCCUGGGGAGUACGGCCGCAAGGCUAAAACUCAAAGGAAUUGACGG
rnacentral:rRNA from 1 species